UUGUCGCACAAAAAAACCUUUUGAAUUUCCAGUAGAAAGAGAUUUCCCUAAUGACAACGCUUUUAAGGCUGCCCAAUAUCCCUUUCUUUUCCAAAUAUUUUUACGAAUACGCUUUUUUGAUAUAGAAGUACAUUUUUUUGGAACUGCCAUUUUAAAAUUAAGAGGUUACUCGUUGUUAUAGUUGGAUGUGAAAGACAUCUUUUAGUCAAAAUGAAUCGUUCUUUACUAUUCAUUAUCUAUUUCUUCUCUAGAUAAUAUUCUCUUCAUAAAAGAGAAUAUUCU
rnacentral:lncRNA from 1 species